CUUGGCUCCUCCGAGGAGGCCCCGCUGGAGGGGAGAUCCAAAUGAGGAGGACACGGCCUGGGGGAGAAGGGGCAGGAGCAGCGUCACACAGGCAUCAGGGUGCGUGUGCACGGAGCUGGGACCUUGGGUAGAGUGAGCACUGUGUGUGAGAGAGAAGUAUGUGCAUGAGCCUGUGUGCAUGUGAGUGCACAGCUGUGUAUGUAUAUGUGUACAAGAGGGUGUGGUGUGUGCACAUGGGUGCCUGUGUGUGUGUAUGUGUGCAGAUAUGUGUGUGUAUGUGUGUAGAUGUGUGUAUAUGUGUCUGUGUGUAUUGUGUAGAUGCGUGUGUAUGUGUGCAGAUGUGUCUGUGUGUAGAUGUGUGUAUGUGUGUAGGUUUGUGUGUAUGUGUGUAGAUGUGUGUGUAUGUGUGCAGAUGUGUGUGAGUGUGUGAUGUGUGUAUGUGUGCAGAUGUGUGUGUGUGUAGAUGUGUGUGUAUGUGUGUAGUGUGUCUGUGUGUAUUGGGUAGAUGCGUGUGUAUGUGUGCAGAUGUGUCUGUGUGUAGAUGUGUGUAUGUGUGUAGGUUUGUGUGUAUGUGUGUAGAUGUGUGUGUGUAGAUGUGUGUAUG
rnacentral:lncRNA from 10 species